rnacentral:rRNA from 1 species
GACUCUUGGCAAUGGAUAUCUCGGCUCUCGCAUCGAUGAAGAACGUAGAGAAAUGCGAUACUUGGUGUGAAUUGCAGAAUCCCGCGAACCAUCGAGUCUUUGAACGCAAGUUGCGCCCGAGGCCACUCGGCCGAGGGCACGCCUGCCUGGGUGUCA